AGGAGGGUGAGCGUGAGGUCCAGGCAGCCUUGCGCUCUCCAUGUGCAGUCCACGUGCACGCCAGCGAGACUUGAAUCUCAAGAACUAGCUAUGACUUUUCUCAUGGGAGGAAUGAGGAAAUGAAAAUGAAGUAAUAUAAAUUGAUGACCUAGGUCUCAAGGCUGUGAGACAUCAGAAAUGCCUUCUAUUUUAAGAAAAAUCAGGUUCCUGCCCUGAUUUCCCUAGAAGAUGAACUUCACUCUGGGAGAUGAAAUAAACCUUCUCCUCCUCAUCCACUAUUAGUCAUGUUGUUAAACCACCACCAUAGAACACCUCGCUCUUCCUCUUCUGCUAUCUUGUGAACGUUUUUAUGUUUAUGUACAUUUUGAUUUGGUUUUUAUAGCUGUCAGGCCUGUGCCUAAACUCAUAGCAUUGCAUAUGGAUAUUACACUAUUCCAGGACCAACGCUAAAAGAUGACUUUCCAUGGAAUGGUCCUUGAUUAAUUGUGGAGAUGAGAUUUUUAUGUUGCAUGGGUGUGCUGUGAGGUCCUCUAUGCUAUUCCUUUGAUCUGGUCAUGUUGUUAAAAACAUUUCACAACAACAACAACAAAGAAAUAUCUAAUGUCACAUAGUCUAUUUCACUGUAGCUUUGUAGCACGUUUUGAAGUGAGGCCUGACUAGUCGUGACUCCAUCAGUAUUGUGUUGGCUUUAUGUAUC